CCAAUAGCGUAUAUUAAAGUUGUUGCAGUUAAAAAGCUCGUAGUUGAAUUUCGAGAUCGGUUUAUUGGUCGUGCUAUUGUACGUACUGGUAUUACCGGUUUCUCCUUUCUGACGAACCUUAAUGCCAUUAAUUUGGUGUUUUGGGAAAUCAGGACUGUUACUUUGAAAAAAUUAGAGUGUUUAAAGCAGGCUCACGCUUGAAUACAUUAGCAUGGAAUAACGGAAUAGGACGUUUGAUUCUAUUUUGUUGGUUUCUAGGAUCGACGUAAUGAUUAAUAGGGAUAGUUGGGUGCAUUAGUAUUCAAUUGUCAGAGGUGAAAUUCUUGGAUUUAUUGAAGACUAACUACUGCGAAAGCAUUUGCCAAGGAUGUUUUCAUUAAUCAAGAACGAAAGUUAGGGGAUCGAAGACGAUCAGAUACCGUCGUAGUCUUAACCAUAAACUAUGCCGACUAGGGAUCGGAUGAUGUUAAUUUUUUAAUGACUCAUUCGGCGCCUUACG
rnacentral:rRNA from 1 species